rnacentral:rRNA from 1 species
AACGAACGCUGGCGGCAUGCCUAACACAUGCAAGUCGAACGCAUGUAGCAAUACAUGAGUGGCGAACGGGUGAGUAACGCGUGGGAACCUGCCUAGUGGUAGGGAAUAACCGCGGGAAACUGCGGCUAAUACCCUAUGAGCCCUCCGGGGGAAAGAUUUAUCGCCAUUAGAGGGGCCCGCGUCGGAUUAGCUAGUUGGUGGGGUAACGGCCCACCAAGGCGACGAUCCGUAGCUGGUCNGAGAGGAUGAUCAGCCACACUGGGACUGAGAUACGGCCCAGACUCCUACGGGAGGCAGCAGUGGGGAAUAUUGGACAAUGGGGCAACCCUGAUCCAGCAAUGCCGCGUGAGUGAAGAAGGCCUUAGGGUUGUAAAGCUCUUUCGGCGGGGAAGAUGAUGACGGUACCCGCAGAAGAAGCCCCGGCUAACUUCGUGCCAGCAGCCGCCGUAAU